rnacentral:misc_RNA from 1 species
AAAAACACAAAGACGCGAAUCAUUCUGAAGCCUCAUAUAGUACAAAAUGUAUUUGUGAUUACCAUGUCUAUUUCAGCAAACAAGAUAUAAGCACACCACUCAUAUAUAAAGGGCGAAUGAAUGACUUUUAACUUAUAAUCAAUACACAUCCUAACAAAUGAAAAAUCAUUCACCAAAAAGAACCUAACUCAGGUCUUUUAUUAAUGUCCUGAUCCUUGAGAAUCCUCCUCCGGAGAUUGUUGUUGUUGUUGAUGUUGCUGCUGCGGAUGUUGCAUUCUUGCCUGCUGGUAUAUCUGGUUCAAAACCCCUAAAUGACCCUCUUGAGAUAAUCCCAGUUCCAAUCCUGGCAGUUGCUGAUUACUUCCACCAAGAAUUGAAGUAAAACACAUCGGAUUCAUACUUGUAGCUGCAGGCAGAUCAAAUCCAGGAAACCCAAUUUUCUGUAAGUAAUAAUUUGAACUAUCACUACCUAAACUCGCGCUUGAUGGAGCAGAUGAGGAUUGAAACCCAAAACUAGUGACAACAGGGGCAGGGGCAGGCCACAUUCCUGCUGUAGCCAAAUGGGGUCUUCCAAAAUUCCCACAGAUCAUUGGCCAAUUGGUCCUACUAUUACUACUUCUACUGCUACCAGACCCCGCGAUAUUCGCCCCCGAUUCAAUCAUUAAACCAGCUGAUACAGAGAUCCCCUGUUGAGAAACAGAGGCUGCUGCAGCUAAAGCCGAGGCAGGUAUUGUCCCUGUGCCAGUAGCAGCAAUAAUCGAAGGCUCGGCUUGCUGCAGCAGCCACUGAAUUGUCUCACCAUCAGAUUUAUGACCCAAU